UCUGCUAGCUUUCGAAAAUUCUCAUUUCUCAUGUGUGCUCAGUCAGUUUAGUAGGGGAUUCUUGGUAUAUUUAUGUGCCUAUUGAGGUACAUUUAUUUAUGAUCGCAUGAGAUUACAGAGCUUUUUGGUGUUGUAAUCAUCAUUCGAAAAGAAAGAAUGGCCGAAGAAAAUUCCGCCGAUGAAUUAAUAGAAGAGAAGGCUGAAGAGUUGGACGGCGAGGAAGAAUUAUUGGCUCGGCACCGGAAGGAAAAAAAAGAUAUUCAAGCAAAGAUUCAAGCUUUGAAGAAGACAGCAACGAAAGGAGACAAAAAGAAAAAGAAGGACGUGGCUGAGGAGAUUGCCAAGCUAGAAACUGAAAUAGAGACUAAACAUGCUGCAGAAUUGAAGAAAUUUCAGGAAUCCACAGCUGAAACCAAGAAAAUCUCUGAGCAACUAGAAGAUGUAAACUUGGCAGCCAAGGGUGAAGGAAAAGUCACAAAGGCUCAAAGAAGAAGAGACAAAAAACAGGACCAAGCCAAAGAAAGGGUGCAGUUGAUUGAAGAACAGGAGAAAGCUAAUCUUUUGGGAGUCAGGCACACUGAAACCCAGAAAAUCAAAGCAAUACUGGCCAAGCGAAAUCUGACUUUCUUUGAAAUACCAUCUGAUGGCAACUGCAUGUUCGCGGCCAUACUGCACCAAAUUAACCGCGGAGGUGUCUCACAGUCUGUGCAGCAACUUCGCAAUCUUGCGGCAGAAUUUAUGCGUUCAAACGUGGACGAUUUCAUGCCGUUCAUGGACGAGGUGGAAAACGAAGAACAAUACAUGAAAUACUGCGACGAUCUCCAACGAACCGCCGCGUGGGGUAGCCAGCUGGAGUUGCGAGCUUUAAGUCAAGUUUUACGACGUCCCUUUGAAGUCGUGCAGGCUGAAGGUCGUCCUGUUAUCAUAGGCGAAGAAUUCACGGAUCCAUCAUCUACUCCGGUACUGCUCACUUACCAUCGCCACAUGUACGGUUUGGGAGAACAUUACAACAGCGUCCAGCCUCGGCCAGCCGACGACGAGGACAAUGACGGCGGCCAAUAAACCAACAUCCCGCCAUCUCUCUCAGUAAUCUCCCACCUUCAUCCAAAAGUAAAUGGCCAUGCGCAGGAGGAGAAGAAGAAGAAGUUCCUUUUGAUAAUAAAUCAGAUGAGAAAAUAAAAAAUAAAACGAGGAGAGAGAUUGGAAUCUUUGGAUAUAUUUUUCGCCCUUUCACUUUUUUCACGUUUCCUUCUUUCUCCUCGUUUACGAGCUGGUGAUUCAUUCGUUAUUGUUUGAAUUACAUCUUCCUCAUAGCCCGAUAGAUACAACCAGCGUCGCGGUGGAAUCAAAACGAAAUGGGUGGACGAAAUGUCUGCUCGGAGGACGAACGCCUUUCACUCGGCUUGACCUGUCGAAAGGGAAAAUCAACUAACCCGUGAACUAUGGCAAAAGAAAAAAAGAUCUCUCGAAAACGCCUUGACAAUGGACCGCUCGCCUGACCGUUCUCUCUCUUCUUUUCUUUUUUAAGAUUUUCACAUGAUGAAUCACGUCCUACUGUUUGUGUGUCACGAUGCA